UACGUAGGGUGCGAGCGUUGUCCGGAAUUAUUGGGCGUAAAGAGCUUGUAGGCGGUCUGUCGCGUCUGCCGUGAAAUCCCGGGGCUCAACCCCGGGCUUGCAGUGGAUACGGGCUGGCUAGAGGCAGGCAGGGGAGAACGGAAUUCCCGGUGUAGCGGUGAAAUGCGCAGAUAUCGGGAGGAACACCGGUGGCGAAGGCGGUUCUCUGGGCCUGUACUGACGCUGAGGAGCGAAAGCGUGGGGAGCGAACAGG
rnacentral:rRNA from 1 species